rnacentral:rRNA from 1 species
AUUGAACGCUGGCGGCAGGCCUAACACAUGCAAGUCGAGCGAGCGGCGGACGGGUGAGUAAUGUAUGGGGACUGCCCUAUAGAGGGGGAUAACUACUGGAAACGGUAGCUAAUACCGCAUACUAUCGGAUAACCCAUAUGGACUUAGCUAGUAUGUGAUGUAAUGGCUCACGUAGGCUACGAUCCCUAGCUGGUCUGAGAGGAUGAUCAGCCACACUGGAACUGAGAAACGGCCCAGACUCCUACGGAGGCAGCAGUGGGGAAUAUUGCACAAUGGGCGCAAGCCUGAUGCAGCCAUGCCGCGUGUAUGAAGAAGGCCCUAGGGUUGUAAAGUACUGUCAGUCGGGAGGCGUUACCGACAGAAGAAGCACCGGCUAACUCCGUGCCAGCAGCCGCGGUAAUUC